CAGUCGCCGGGGAAUACGUAGGGUGCAAGCGUUAAUCGGAAUUACUGUGCGUAAAGCGUGCGCAGGCGGUUAUAUAAGACAGAUGUGAAAUCCCCGGGCUCAACCUGGGAACUGCAUUUGUGACUGUAUAGCUAGAGUACGGCAGAGGGGGAUGGAAUUCCGCGUGUAGCAGUGAAAUGCGUAGAUAUGCGGAGGAACACCGAUGGCGAAGGCAAUCCCCUGGGCCUGUACUGACGCUCAUGCACGAAAGCGUGGGGAGCAAACAGGAUUAGAUACCCCUGUAGUCCCUGUCUCUUAUACA
rnacentral:rRNA from 1 species